UGGGGAAUUUUGCACAAUGGGGGAAACCCUGAUGCAGCGACGCCGCGUGAUUUAGAAGGCCUUCGGGUUGUAAAAAUCUUUUUUACGGGAUGAAAAUGACAGUACCGUAAGAUUAAGGUCCGGCUAAAUACGUGCCAGCAGCCGCGGUAAUACGUAUGGACCGAGCGUUGUCCGGAAUCAUUGGGCGUAAAGGGUACGUAGGCGGCCUAGUAAGUUAGAAGUGAAAUAAUAUAGCUCAACUAUAUAAAGCUUUUAAAACUGCUAGGCUUGAGAGAUGGAAGGGAAAGUGGAAUUCCUAGUGUAGCGGUGAAAUGCGCAGAUAUUAGGAAGAAUACCGGUGGCGAAGGCGACUUUCUGGUCAUCAUCUGACGCUGAGGUACGAAAGCGUGGGUAGCAAACAGG
rnacentral:rRNA from 1 species